UGCCAGCAGCCGCGGUAAUACGGAGGGAGCGAACGUUGUUCGGAUUUACUGGGCGUAAAGGGCGUGUAGGCGGCUCCGCAAGUCAGAGGUGAAAUUUCUCGGCUCAACCGGGAACCUGCCUUUGAAACUGCAGGGCUUGAGGUCGUGAGAGGAGACUGGAAUUCCUAGUGUAGCGGUGAAAUGCAUAGAUAUUAGGAAGAACACUAGUGGCGAAGGCGAGUCUCUGGACUGUAACUGACGCUGAGGCUCGAAAGCGUGGGGAGCGAACAGGAUUAGAUA
rnacentral:rRNA from 1 species